CCACCUCCGGGUCGGGCUCCCGCUCGGUAGCUUCCAGGCGGUCUCCUGUACUCAGGCGAGCUUGGCCAGCAGCUCCUGGCCCGCUUGGGAAGCCGCGCGGAAUACCUGUUCACCCCCAGGAAGCUGCCAUUCCAAGCAUUUCAAGCUGCCAUUCCAAGCUGAGGCCAUACAUUUCCUCUGCCUCAGCCUACCCAUACACCCAAAGGAGAUUUCAAUCUCACAAGGGACAUGCUGUAACACUGAACUACAACCCCAGCCCAAGAAACUUUUUUCGGUAAGUCCAGGGUGUACCCGCUUCUAAAGCCUCCUCAUGAACCUGGUAUGUCCCCUUCCCCAUAGCACCUAAAGCAAAGUUUUGAUUAAUAAAUUGAAAGGAAAAUUUCAUAGGUGAAGUUUCCACAGGAAAUGUUUGUGCAAGAUUUACUUAUAAAUACUUAAUUGGGAAAUACCAUAG